GACACCUGGCUCCGUGGUCUAGAGGUACUUGCCUCAAAACUUCGGGGUCCCGGGUUCGAUUCCCGGUCGAGGAACU